UACGUAGGGUGCAAGCGUUAAUCGGAAUUACUGGGCGUAAAGCGUGCGCAGGCGGUUUUGUAAGCCAGAUGUGAAAUCCCCGGGCUUAACCUGGGAAUGGCAUUUGGGACUGCAAGGCUGGAGUGUGGCAGAGGGGGAUGGAAUUCCGCGUGUAGCAGUGAAAUGCGUAGAUAUGCGGAGGAACACCGAUGGCGAAGGCAAUCCCCUGGGCCUGCACUGACGCUCAUGCACGAAAGCGUGGGGAGCAAACAGG
rnacentral:rRNA from 1 species